GACGAACGCUGGCGGCGUGCUUAACACAUGCAAGUCGAACGGAAAGGCCCUGCUUUUGUGGGGUGCUCGAGUGGCGAACGGGUGAGUAACACGUGAGUAACCUUCCCUGUACUUUGUGAUAACUUCAGGAAACUGGGGCUAAUACCUGCUAGGAGCUCCUGCUGCAUGGUGGGGGUUGGAAAGUUUCGGCGGUUGGGGAUGGACUCGCGGCUUAUCAGCUUGUUGGUGGGGUAGUUGCUUACCAAGGCUUUGACGGGUAGCCGGCCUGAGAGGGUGACCGGCGACAUUGGGACUGAGAUACGGCCCAGACUCCUACGGGAGGCAGCAGUGGGGAAUAUUGCACAAUGGGCGGAAGCCUGAUGCAGCAGUGCCGCGUGCGGGAUGACGGCCUUCGGGUUGUAAACCGCUUUAGCCUGUGACGAAGCGUGAGUGACGGUAAUGGGUAAAGAAGCACCGGCUAACUACGUG
rnacentral:rRNA from 1 species